rnacentral:rRNA from 1 species
UCAGAUGACGCUGCGGCGUGCCUAAUACAUGCAAGUCGAGCGACAGAUGAGGAGCUUGCUCCUUUGACGUUAGCGGCGGACGGGUGAGUAACACGUGGGUAACCUACCUAUAAGACUGGGAUAACUUCGGGAAACCGGAGCUAAUACCGGAUAAUAUUUCGAACCGCAUGGUUCGAUAGUGAAAGAUGGUUUUGCUAUCACUUAUAGAUGGACCCGCGCCGUAUUAGCUAGUUGGUAAGGUAACGGCUUACCAAGGCGACGAUACGUAGCCGACCUGAGAGGGUGAUCGGCCACACUGGAACUGAGACACGGUCCAGACUCCUACGGGAGGCAGCAGUAGGGAAUCUUCCGCAAUGGGCGAAAGCCUGACGGAGCAACGCCGCGUGAGUGAUGAAGGUCUUCGGAUCGUAAAACUCUGUUAUUAGGGAAGAACAUACGUGUAAGUAACUAUGCACGUCUUGACGGUACCUAAUCAGAAAGCCACGGCUAACUACGUGCCAGCAGCCGCGGUAAUACGUAGGUGGCAAGCGUUAUCCGGAAUUAUUGGGCGUAAAGCGCGCGUAGGCGGUUUUUUAAGUCUGAUGUGAAAGCCCACGGCUCAACCGUGGAGGGUCAUUGGAAACUGGAAAACUUGAGUGCAGAAGAGGAAAGUGGAAUUCCAUGUGUAGCGGUGAAAUGCGCAGAGAUAUGGAGGAACACCAGUGGCGAAGGCGACUUUCUGGUCUGUAACUGACGCUGAUGUGCGAAAGCGUGGGGAUCAAACAGGAUUAGAUACCCUGGUAGUCCACGCCGUAAACGAUGAGUGCUAAGUGUUAGGGGGUUUCCGCCCCUUAGUGCUGCAGCUAACGCAUUAAGCACUCCGCCUGGGGAGUACGACCGCAAGGUUGAAACUCAAAGGAAUUGACGGGGACCCGCACAAGCGGUGGAGCAUGUGGUUUAAUUCGAAGCAACGCGAAGAACCUUACCAAAUCUUGACAUCCUUUGACAACUCUAGAGAUAGAGCCUUCCCCUUCGGGGGACAAAGUGACAGGUGGUGCAUGGUUGUCGUCAGCUCGUGUCGUGAGAUGUUGGGUUAAGUCCCGCAACGAGCGCAACCCUUAAGCUUAGUUGCCAUCAUUAAGUUGGGCACUCUAAGUUGACUGCCGGUGAC